UACGGAGGGGGCUAGCGUUGUUCGGAAUUACUGGGCGUAAAGCGCGCGUAGGCGGACCUGCAAGUCGGGGGUGAAAGCCCGAGGCUCAACCUCGGAACUGCCUUCGAUACUGCGGGUCUCGAGUCCGGGAGAGGUGAGUGGAAUUCCUAGUGUAGAGGUGAAAUUCGUAGAUAUUAGGAAGAACACCAGUGGCGAAGGCGGCUCACUGGCCCGGUACUGACGCCGAGGCGCGAAAGCGUGGGGAGCGAACGGG
rnacentral:rRNA from 1 species